rnacentral:siRNA from 1 species
UCCCUUUGGAUGUCGUCUUGUG